CGUGGCAGCAGCACAGCUUCCAUGGAGUGAAAAGGUUAACAACAGCCUCUGCUUCCUGCAAUAGUGCCACUGCAGCCAGGAGGAAGCCUUUGCACUGGGGGUCCUGGUGGACAACAAGCGGUCUGUGAGCCAGGAGUGCCCUUGAGGCCAAGAAGACCAAACUUAUCCUGGAGUGCAUUGGGAUAGGGUGCCAGGAAGUCGAGGGAGGUGAUCCUGUCCAUCUGCUCAGCCCUGGCUGAAUUCAAGCUGAUGGUUACAAGUCAGUAUCCUGAGAGGACCUUUCUCCCAGCAGUGGCAG